AAAAUAAGGUAAUCGCUGUAAUGGGAAACUAGUGCAGAGGAAAGUCCAUGCUCGCACCAUCUGAGAUGAUGGUAGUGUUUGUGCCUAUCGAAACAAUAAGAUAGGGCAUUGAAAAAUGACGGCGAAUCUUAAACCUAAAGCGCAAGUCAUGGUUUAAUUCUUAAAGUGCCACAGAGACGAGUUACUUAGAAAUAAGUAAGUGGAACGGGUAAACCCCACAAGCGAGAAACCCAAAUUUGGUAGGGGAACUUUAAAGAGCGAAUUCAAGCUUAAUGAAGACAGCAAUGUAGAUAAAUGAUUACCACCCGUAAGGGAACAGAACAUGGCUUAUUAU
rnacentral:RNase_P_RNA from 1 species